rnacentral:rRNA from 1 species
UGAUGAAGGCCCUUAGGGUUGUAAAGUCCUUUUGGCGGGGAAGAUAAUGACGGUACCCGCAGAAGAGGCCCCGGCUAACUUCGUGCCAGCAGCCGCGGUAAUACGAAGGGGGCUAGCGUUGCUCGGAAUCACUGGGCGUAAAGCGCACGUAGGCGGACUCUUAAGUCGGUGGUGAAAUCCUGGAGCUCAACUCCAGAACUGCCUUCGAUACUGAGAGUCUCGAGUCCGGGAGAGGUGAGUGGAACUGCGAGUGUAGAGGUGAAAUUCGUAGAUAUUCGCAAGAACACCAGUGGCGAAGGCGGCUCACUGGCCCGGUACUGACGCUGAGGUGCGAAAGCGUGGAGAGCAAACAGGAUUAGAUACCCUGGUAGUCCACGCCGUAAACGAUGGAUGCUAGCCGUUGGCAGGCUUGCCUGUCAGUGGCGCAGCUAACGCAUUAAGCAUCCCGCCUGGGGAGUACGGUCGCAAGAUUAAAACUCAAAGGAAUUGACGGGGGCCCGCACAAGCGGUGGAGCAUGUGGUUCAAUUCGAAGCAACGCGCAGAACCUUACCAACCUUUGACAUGUCCCGUAUGGGUACCAGAGAUGGAACCCUUCAGUUCGGCUGGCGGGAACACAGGUGCUGCAUGGCUGUCGUCAGCUCGUGUCGUGAGAUGUUGGGUUAAGUCCCGCAACGAGCGCAACCCUCGCCCUUAGUUGCCAUCAUUCAGUUGGGCACUCUAAGGGGACUGCCGGUGAUAAGCCGCGAGGAAGGUGGGGAUGACGUCAAGUCCUCAUGGCCCUUACAGGUUGGGCUACACACGUGCUACAAUGGCGGUGACAAUGGGAUGCAAUGGAGCAAUCCUGCGCAAAUCUCAAAAAGCCGUCUCAGUUCGGAUUGCUCUCUGCAACUCGAGAGCAUGAAGUUGGAAUCGCUAGUAAUCGCAGAUCAGCACGCUGCGGUGAAUACGUUCCCGGGCCUUGUACACACCGCCCGUCACACCAUGGGAGUUGGUUUUACCUGAAGACGGUGCGCUAACCGCAAGGAGGCAGCCGGCCACGGUAGGAUCAGCGACUGGGGUGAAAGGGUAACAAGGUAGCCGUAGGGGAACC